rnacentral:rRNA from 1 species
CGGCACGGGUGAGUAACACGUAUCCAACCUGCCGUCUACUCUUGGCCAGCCUUCUGAAGGGAAGAUUAAUCCAGGAUGGCAUCAUGAGUUCACAUGUCCGCAUGAUUAAAGGUAUUUUCCGGUAGACGAUGGGGAUGCGUUCCAUUAGAUAGUAGGCGGGGUAACGGCCCACCUAGUCAACGAUGGAUAGGGGUCUGAGAGGAAGGUCCCCCACAUUGGAACUGAGACACGGUCCAA